rnacentral:piRNA from 1 species
UUACAAGUCAAUGGCCUUUCUCUACA